UACAGAGGUGGCAAGCGUUGUUCGGAAUUACUGGGCGUAAAGGGCGCGUAGGCGGCCUUCUAAGUCAGACGUGAAAUCCCCCGGCUUAACCUGGGAACUGCGUCUGAUACUGGGAGGCUAGAGUAUGGGAGAGGGAUGUAGGAUUCCAGGUGUAGCGGUGAAAUGCGUAGAUAUCUGGAGGAAUACCGGUGGCGAAGGCGGCAUCCUGGACCAUUACUGACGCUGAGGCGCGAAAGCUAGGGGAGCAAACGGG
rnacentral:rRNA from 1 species